GCCUUCGUGGUGAAAUGGUCAGCACACUGAGCCGGUAUUUCAGAGGUCCGUGGUUCGAUCCCCGGCGAAGGAA
rnacentral:tRNA from 1 species